rnacentral:sRNA from 1 species
UCAUGAUGUCCUGAUGGAAACGUUAUC